rnacentral:rRNA from 1 species
GACGAACGCUGGCGGCGUGCUUAACACAUGCAAGUCGAACGGAAAGGCCCUGCUUUUGUGGGGUGCUCGAGUGGCGAACGGGUGAGUAACACGUGAGUAACCUGCCCUUGACUUUGGGAUAACUUCAGGAAACUGGGGCUAAUACCGGAUAGGAGCUCCUGCUGCAUGGUGGGGGUUGGAAAGUUUCGGCGGUUGGGGAUGGACUCGCGGCUUAUCAGCUUGUUGGUGGGGUAGUGGCUUACCAAGGCUUUGACGGGUAGCCGGCCUGAGAGGGGGACCGGGCACAAUGGGACUGAGAUACGGCCCAGAAUCCUACGGGAGGCAGCAGUGGGGAAUAUUGCACAAUGGGCGGAAGCCUGAUGCAGCAACGCCGCGUGCGGGAUGACGGCCUUCGGGUUGUAAACCGCUUUCGCCUGUGACGAAGCGUGAGUGACGGUAAUGGGUAAAGAAGCACCGGCUAACUACGUG